CGUUUUGUGUGCGUGCGUAUGUAUUGCAUGAGGCCGGUAGAGUUUUACUCGCAAUAAAACUCUUCCGAUUUGGUGCAGCGAGUGUUCCCGCCUGAAAGCCGAGUUUGGUUUCAAGCCACCCUGGACAACUGCUGUAUGAGGCGCCGUUUCUCGGGAGGACCAGUGGGAAGGCGCCAAGUCAUGCAGAUGGUAGCAGCGAUUUCACAAUGCCCAGCCUUGGCGCCCCCCAUCAAGAGCAAGCCACUUGCUUUCGCCUUCAGACAGAUGGUUAACGUCUUCUUGAAAGCGGUUGAGAAGACAACAUUGCUGCAAGAUUCCAGCAAUGCCAUGCACUGCAUUUAUUGGUCAAGAUGCUCAGAGAAUGGAGUCCCUGCACCUCGUGGUUAACCGUGAACAUUUCUUUUUCUUUUGGAAAGCUAAAGGCCAUUUGCUGCAUCACUUGCAUUUUUGCAGCUCAGAUGUGUACUAUAUUUUUCUAAUUUUGAAUCAAUAUUGGCUAUUCAGUAUAAAAAAUGACGUACAGCGUGAAGGACAAGGACUGCGAG